rnacentral:misc_RNA from 1 species
GUGUUCGGAUUGCGGCGACGUGGGCGGUCCGCCGCCCGCGACGUCGCAAGAAGUCCACUGAACCUUAUCAUUUAGAGGAAGGAGAAGUCGUAACAAGGUUUCCGUAGGUGAACCUGCGGAAGGAUCAUUGUCGCAUCCUGCAAACGACCGCGAACACGUUUUAUAAAACCCCGCGGGCCUCGGUCUCGGCCGUCGCCCGCGCCCAACUAAACUUCCGGCGCGGAAAGCGCCAAGGACUACUCAAACGGAUCGUCCGYGUCCCCCGGCGGCUUCCGCCGGGCGGGUGCGGCGCGUCUGAAAUCGUAUAACCAAUACGACUCUCGGCAACGGAUAUCUAGGCUCUCGCAUCGAUGAAGAACGUAGCGAAAUGCGAUACUUGGUGUGAAUUGCAGAAUCCCGUGAACCAUCGAGUUUUUGAACGCAAGUUGCGCCCGAAGCCAUUAGGCCGAGGGCACGCCUGCCUGGGCGUCACGCAUCGUCGCCACCCCCAACGCCAUUCGCCUUGCGGGGUGACGGAAGUUGGCCUCCCGUGCCCUCGAGGCGCGGCCGGCCUAAAUGCGAGUCCUCCGUCCGGAGACGUCACGACUAGUGGUGGUUGAAAACCUCUUCCCGAUCGAAGUCGUGGCCCUUUGCCGGCGCGGAUUGCUCUCAAAGACCCUAGUGCCUUCAUAACAAGGCCCUCGACCAUGACCC